GAUGCUAAUAACCGGAUAAAAGACUACUUUCGUCAUGAAAGAAGUUUAAAAGGCGGCGUAAGCUGUCGCUAAAGGAUGGACCUGCGAUGCAUUAGCUAGUUGGUAAGGUAACGGCUUACCAAGGCGAUGAUGCAUAGCCGAGUUGAGAGACUGAUCGGCCACAUUGGGACUGAGACACGGCCCAAACUCCUACGGGAGGCAGCAGGG
rnacentral:rRNA from 1 species